rnacentral:rRNA from 1 species
UGCCCAGCUUGCUGGGCGGAUUAGUGGCGAACGGGUGAGUAAUACGUGAGUAACCUGCCCUUGACUCUGGGAUAAGCCUGGGAAACUGGGUCUAAUACUGGAUACUACCGUCCACCGCAUGGUGGGUGGUGGAAAGGGUUUUACUGGUUUUGGAUGGGCUCACGGCCUAUCAGCUUGUUGGUGGGGUAAUGGCUCACCAAGGCGACGACGGGUAGCCGGCCUGAGAGGGUGACCGGCCACACUGGGACUGAGACACGGCCCAGACUCCUACGGGAGGCAGCAGUGGGGAAUAUUGCACAAUGGGCGGAAGCCUGAUGCAGCGACGCCGCGUGAGGGAUGACGGCCUUCGGGUUGUAAACCUCUUUCAGUAGGGAAGAAGCGAGAGUGACGGUACCUGCAGAAGAAGCGCCGGCUAACUACGUGCCAGCAGCCGCGGUAAUACGUAGGGCGCAAGCGUUGUCCGGAAUUAUUGGGCGUAAAGAGCUCGUAGGCGGUUUGUCGCGUCUGCUGUGAAAGCCCGGGGCUCAACCCCGGGUCUGCAGUGGGUACGGGCAGACUAGAGUGCAGUAGGGGAGACUGGAAUUCCUGGUGUAGCGGUGAAAUGCGCAGAUAUCAGGAGGAACACCGAUGGCGAAGGCAGGUCUCUGGGCUGUUACUGACGCUGAGGAGCGAAAGCAUGGGGAGCGAACAGGAUUAGAUACCCUGGUAGUCCAUGCCGUAAACGUUGGGCACUAGGUGUGGGGGACAUUCCACGUUUUCCGCGCCGUAGCUAACGCAUUAAGUGCCCCGCCUGGGGAGUACGGCCGCAAGGCUAAAACUCAAAGGAAUUGACGGGGGCCCGCACAAGCGGCGGAGCAUGCGGAUUAAUUCGAUGCAACGCGAAGAACCUUACCAAGGCUUGACAUUCACCGGACCGCCCCAGAGAUGGGGUUUCCCUUCGGGGCUGGUGGACAGGUGGUGCAUGGUUGUCGUCAGCUCGUGUCGUGAGAUGUUGGGUUAAGUCCCGCAACGAGCGCAACCCUCGUUCUAUGUUGCCAGCACGUGAUGGUGGGGACUCAUAGGAGACUGCCGGGGUCAACUCGGAGGAAGGUGGGGAUGACGUCAAAUCAUCAUGCCCCUUAUGUCUUGGGCUUCACGCAUGCUACAAUGGCCGGUACAAAGGGUUGCGAUACUGUGAGGUGGAGCUAAUCCCAAAAAGCCGGUCUCAGUUCGGAUUGAGGUCUGCAACUCGACCUCAUGAAGUCGGAGUCGCUAGUAAUCGCAGAUCAGCAACGCUGCGGUGAAUACGUUCCCGGGCCUUGUACACACCGCCCGUCAAGUCACGAAAGUUGGUAACACCCGAAGCCGGUGGCCUA